rnacentral:rRNA from 1 species
GAUGAACGCUAGCUACAGGCUUAACACAUGCAAGUCGAGGGGCAGCAUUUCAGUUUGCUUGCAAACUGGAGAUGGCGACCGGCGCACGGGUGAGUAACACGUAUCCAACCUGCCGAUAACUCGGGGAUAGCCUUUCGAAAGAAAGAUUAAUACCCGAUGGCAUAAUUAGACCGCAUGGUCUUAUUAUUAAAGAAUUUCGGUUAUCGAUGGGGAUGCGUUCCAUUAGGCAGUUGGUGAGGUAACGGCUCACCAAACCUUCGAUGGAUAGGGGUUCUGAGAGGAAGGUCCCCCACAUUGGAACUGAGACACGGUCCAAACUCCUACGGGAGGCAGCAGUGAGGAAUAUUGGUCAAUGGGCGCAGGCCUGAACCAGCCAAGUAGCGUGAAGGAUGACUGCCCUAUGGGUUGUAAACUUCUUUUAUAUGGGAAUAAAGUUUUCCACGUGUGGAAUUUUGUAUGUACCAUAUGAAUAAGGAUCGGCUA